UGAAGAGGUAAGAAGGAUGGGAAGGAGCCAGCAAACUGCACAGUCCAGGUGGUAUAAAUGAUAAAUACUUUCCUGCCCUUUCUCAAAAAAGGGAAAGCUGCUGGAGAUGGCACAAGACCCACCAUGAGUUCCUCAGCCACAGUUUCAGCUGCUCCCCGGCCCUACCCGUUGGAUGGACCUUUAUCUAAAGGAGGCCAUGAUCAAUUCCUCUCUUACCUUUGAUGGAGAGCUAAGAAAUGGAAGCAGGUUUUGAAGCCUUCAAAUGGAGAUGGAUUGGAGUCAAUUUUAUGAAAAGGAAAAAAGAGAGAAGAGAAUUCACACUGAUGGACAUCCUAAAGGAGAGGAUGGACAGACAUCUCCUGGCUCUGGCA